GACGGAGGGUGCUAGCGUUGUUCGGAAUCACUGGGCGUAAAGGGCGCGUAGGCGGCCUCAGGUGUCGGAUGUGAAAGCCCGGGGCUCAACCCCGGAGGUGCAUCCGAAACUCUGAGGCUGGAGGUCGGAAGAGGAGGGUGGAAUACCCAGUGUAGAGGUGAAAUUCGUAGAUAUUGGGUGGAACACCGGUGGCGAAAGCGGCUCUCUGGUCCGGACCUGACGCUGAGGCGCGAAAGCGUGGGGAGCAAACAGG
rnacentral:rRNA from 1 species